rnacentral:rRNA from 1 species
GGAAUAUUGGACAAUGGGGGCAACCCUGAUCCAGCCAUGCCGCGUGAGUGAAGAAGGCCUUAGGGUUGUAAAGCUCUUUCAGAGGGGAAGAUGAUGAAGGUACCCGCAGAAGAAGCGCCGGCUAACUCCGUGCCAGCAGCCGCGGUAAUACGGCGGGGGCUAGCGUUGCUCGGAAUUACUGGGCGUAAAGGGCGAGUGGGCGGAUUUUUAAGUCAUGUGUGAAAGCCCCGGGCUCAACCCGGGAAUUGCGCUUGAUACUUGAAGUCUAGAGUUCUGGAGAGGGUGGUGGAAUUCCCAGUGUAGAGGUGAAAUUCGUAGAUAUUGGGAAGAACACCGGUGGCGAAGGCGGCCACCUGGCCAGACACUGACGCUAAGGCGCGAAAGCGUGGGGAGCAAAC